rnacentral:rRNA from 1 species
CAACUUUCAGCAAUGGAUCUCUUGGCUCUCGCAUCGAUGAAGAACGCAGCGAAAAGCGAUAUGUAAUGUGAAUUGCAGAUCUACAGUGAAUCAUCGAAUCUUUGAACGCACCUUGCGCUCCUCGGUGUUCCGAGGAGCAUGCCUGUUUGAGUGUCAUUA